rnacentral:tRNA from 4 species
UCCCCGGUAGCUCAGUUGGUAGAGCGGUCGGCUGUUAACCGAUUGGUCGCAGGUUCGAGUCCUGCCCGGGGAGCCA